rnacentral:tRNA from 2 species
GGAGGGGUACCCAAGUGGCCAAAGGGGGCAGACUGUAAAUCUGCUGGCACAGCCUUCGGGGGUUCGAAUCCUCCCCCCUCCACCA